GGGACUGACCCUCCAUCCUGUGGGACUUUGCCUCUGGGAUGUUUGCUCUGCAUUUCUUGAAACCAUUAUUAUCUAUCUUAUUUUUUCCCCACUCCUUUGGUUCUUCUCUUUUCUCCUCAUGGCAGCAUCCUCCACUUAAUCCGUGGUCCGUCAUCCCCAGCAGAAUUGGCCAGAUAUUGCCCGUGUCACGGUCCUGACCGUCUCCACUAUGGGCUGUCCUUGUGAGCCCGUGCUCCUCUGGGACCGUCUUCACUGACCUGACCUCUCUCAGUCUUGAUUGCUUUCAGCUGACCUGGCUGGGUUAGGAGAAAACCUGACUAUGGAGUCCCAGAGCCAUUCUCUGCCCUCUCUAUCUCCAGGAGAGGAAGAAAAUCACAGGGAUCUCCAUGGAGAAAUGACCCACGUGAGGGCCUGGACUCUCCAGCAGUCACAGCAGAGGAAACUCCCUGAGGAAGAAUGGAGGAUCUGAACGUCCAGACUGGGAAAGCAGGGUUGUGUUAAGGACUAUUUAAUUCUCAUGAGCUCCCUGCCCCAAUGUAUAAGCCAGCGAAUGACAACAGACUGAGAAUAAGUUGUAGGACUAUAGGACCAUGAUGAAGAAUUGUCCAAGGAAGCACCCCUUUACUCUGUUUGCAAGGUGAAAUUGCUGUGGAUCCAAAGUUUUCUGAAAGGCAGCAGUGAGUUUCUGGAGGGUGAGUUACCUGCUUUGCACAGGGAGGCUGAGACCAAGGCUUGCAUGGUGUAUCUGCUGUCACCAGGUGGUCAGGGAGCCUGGGAGAGUCUUAGUCUUUCUGGGCUUCAGUUUUCUCAUCAGUAAAGUAGAGGCUUAUUGUACCUCUCUGAAGUCCCUUCCUGCUCAGUUUCCUCUGAGUCCUUGAGGGACUAAGAUGGUUUUUUACACUGCCUGGACCUGUAACCUGCACUGACCUCUCUGGAUCUGACUCCUGACUGGCCCCUGUGUGGCUCCUGCAGAGCCUGAGCUGAAUCCACAUGCUGGAAACCCAGAACCGAGGGAACAGAUGAAAGAAAGAAAAGUCAGCAGGUUUUGGAAAAGAGAAUAACCUGCAAAGGACAAGUCAAUGCUAGAACAGGUGAAAACCAAAGAAGGGAGAAUAAGGACAAACUGGGCCAGGAGCCUCAGGGAAACGGGCAAUGGGCCUAUGAUCAUUCCACCACUCGAGGAGCAGCGCAAGCUGAGCAGUGGGGACCGAGAAACUUACUCCACAGGAGUCUCCUGACCCUGGCCAGGGAGAGCCAAAGGGGGGAUCAGAGCUGGUUUAUAGUGAGGGGCAGCACCAAAUCCAAGACGGGGAGGAUGCGACCGUGAGCCCCCACACCAGACUCCGGAGCCUCGACCUGGGGGCUGCCGUAGCUGUGGAUGCUCUUCAGGUCAGUGUGGAUUAGAGGGAAUAACCGUGCUUGGAGAAGGGUUAGAGAUGUCCGUUCUUACAUUAAACAGCCCUGCCCUAUGUCAGGUGCCAGAGUAAGUGAUUCUUGCCAGUAUAUGAGGCAGUGCUACUUACACUAUUCCUCUGCACUUUCAGUUGAGGAAGGUCUCUAUGUGAUGGGUAUUUACUGGGUGUUUAAUUUUCUCUACACUGUGGUAAGCAUUUGGGGUUCACAUAGUAGUUUCCUCAAGGAACUCAAGCCCAUGAGAGAAAGAACACAGAGACCUGAUUUCAAGAAAAUAGAGUAGUUCUCCAAAAGUGGAGAGGAG